UUGUGGAGGAGGACGCCGAAGGUGGGGCUAAUGACUGGGGUGAAGUCGUAACAAGGUAGCCGUACCGGAAGGUGCGGCUGGAUCACCUCCUAACAGGGAGACAACAAAAUGUUAAAUAUUAAUUUUGCCACCUUAGGUCGAUCGGUAUCUCACAUUCUUAACUUAUUAAGGAUUUCAUUUCCUAAGUUUUUUCUAGGUCACACCCAUUAUUUUCCCUGGGCCAUUAGCUCAGGUGGUUAGAGCGCACCCCUGAUAAGGGUGAGGUCCCUGGUUCAAGUCCAGGAUGGCCCAUAUCUCUAUGUUGGGGGUAUAGCUCAGUUGGUAGAGCGCCUGCCUUGCAAGCAGGAUGUCAGCGGUUCGAGUCCGCUUACCUCCACUGAUUACCACCUCUUCCAUAUUUAAUAGAAAGGGAAUUUUGUGAGUUGUGAUCAAAUUCUGAACGAAUCUAGCUUCCUGAUGAAAUCAUUAAGAUGCUGGACUCAUUGAAUUUUUCUCAUUGUUUUCAGAGAACCUUGACAACUGCAUAGUUUAUUUUUAAAGACAAUAAGCAUCUUUAAUGAUGCAGAUUUAUUAUUUGUGCGAAUGCAUUAAUAACAAUUCUAUUAAGCUGAUGCUUCAAUUUUGAAGUUAUUGGUCAAGCUACAA
rnacentral:misc_RNA from 1 species